rnacentral:rRNA from 1 species
AGAGUUUGAUCAUGGCUCAGGAUGAACGCUGGCGGCGUGCCUAAUACAUGCAAGUCGAACGCGAGACGAGGGAGCUUGCUCCCUCCGAUCGAGUGGCGGACGGGUGAGUAACACGUAGGCAACCUGCCCAUCAGCCGGGGAUAACUGCGGGAAACCGUGGCUAAUACCGGAUAAACCUUUCCUCCGCGGGGAGGGGAGUUGAAAGACGGUUUCGGCUGUCGCUGAUGGAUGGGCCUGCGGCGCAUUAGCUGGUUGGUGGGGUAACGGCCCACCAAGGCGACGAUGCGUAGCCGACCUGAGAGGGUGAUCGGCCACACUGGGACUGAGACACGGCCCAGACUCCUACGGGAGGCAGCAGUAGGGAAUCUUCCGCAAUGGACGCAAGUCUGACGGAGCAACGCCGCGUGAGUGAAGAAGGGUUUCGGCUCGUAAAACUCUGUUGUUAAGGAGGAAUGACAGGUAGAGUAACUGCUACCUGUGUGACGGUACUUAACCAGAAAGCCACGGCUAACUACGUGCCAGCAGCCGCGGUAAUACGUAGGUGGCAAGCGUUAUCCGGAAUUAUUGGGCGUAAAGCGCGCGUAGGCGGUCUUUUAAGUCUGAUGUGAAAGCCCCCGGCUCAACCGGGGAGGGUCAUUGGAAACUGGGAGACUUGAGUGCAGAGAGGAGAGUGGAUUCCAUGUGUAGCGGUGAAUGCGCA